UUUGUUGUGUGUGUGGUCUCAAAGUGAUUUUGUUGUGCAUGACUUAACACUUAGUCUUGUGAUUUUUGAUCAGAAUUGUGAGAGUAACUAAAAUAUGAUUUGUGGUGACGUGUGAUUUGUGGUGAUGUGUACUGUGUCUCAAAACGUGGCUUGGACUGCCUUUCAGCAUUAGGUCCUCUUCGGAUUUGAGCACUGUGCUUGGGUGGCGAUUGCCAAAAAGCACUGAAGAUUUGAGCACAGAUCGCUGACCCCAGCAGGAGUCUUGCCAUUGACUCAAAUGGCUGAGACUUGGGCUGAGAUCAAGGACUUCUGGAUGUUGUAUUUGGCUUUAAUACGUUGUUUCAGACCUGGCCAUUCUAUUGUGACCCGCACAGACAUUGCUGAGACGAGCACAGGAGAAAAAAAGGCAUUAAUAUCUAUCUUUUCAAUCAAUGCAUAGAAUUCCUCAGAUCCAGCACCACAUCCUUUGGAGGUGGUCAAAUGUUUCAUUCAUGUUCAUUGUGAACAGCAACAAAAAAAGUAAUCUAGCUGAAAUGCAGAGGCCUGGCAGCUAUGUCUGGGUGCGUCUCAGACUAAUCCAUACCUUUCCUUUUUGUGCAUUAUUCUAACAGCAGGUGAUCUGAUGUGUUACCUGAAAAUGCACUUUGAAUUUACAAUUCCUGCUUCCUGGCCCCACUGGAGGUGAGGUAAUCCAUGAAGCCCCAGGAGCUGAAUGAGCAGUGGCUGCCUCUAGACCCGAGUACCAAAUUGCUGAACAGAUUUCUCCUUUGAAAAUGCCACUGUCACUUGAAAAUGCCAUGUGUACAAUGCAGCUGUCUGACUUCUCAGCAUUACAAAGAAACAAGGCCACGUGAAGCCUAUAAACAAGCUUGUCUUCAGUGCCAUUGCUGUAAGGAGGAAGUUUGCAAACUACAGUCUUCCUUGCUUUACUUCUUGAAUUUUCCAGUUGCUGCUGCUGACAAGACAGAGUAGGGCCUGCUCUGACAUGACCAGUGCUAACUCCAGAAAGGGUCCUGGUCAAGAGUUGAAAGUAAGGAAAAGAGAGGAAGGAAACCACAAAGAAAGAAGCAUAUGAAAAGUAAAAAAAAAUACAGACCUGGAGGUAAACCUACACACUCAGAGGUAAUUUGCCUUGAGGAGCAAGAACCCUUGAGACCUAUGUGUAGACUGUGGAAAAAAGAAUCUGUGAACAAUAGUAAAGGCUAUGAACGUGCUAUCCUCUGACAGUGAACUUAGGUCAGUAAUCAUCAUUAAGCUUGUGGGAAAGACUGGGGAAGUGGGAUAAUACCAAAAUUCAUUACUUGCAAAGCCAUGUAGAGAGCAAGAGACUUAAAAGGAGACAACAGAUUUUUUUUGCAUGGCUGAAAUCAUGAGGUUAUGACAAAGGGGUGCAGUGUGGCAUCUGGGCAGCUGCUCCAUCCUCAAUCAAGUGUCCAGCACUAAGAGAUGCCUGAAUACUGUGAAGAAAGAGGUAAGUUGGAGUGUUGUUUACUAAUUCUUCAACUGACAAAGAAAUACUUCAGGCCUCCAGGUUGUUUCAGAAAACAGGCAACAGAUCUACCCUCCAGGUGCAGCAUCAGCAAGGCCAAAGAGAAACCGAAAGUGCUUCCUGUGAUUUUCUUGACAUUAGUCCUUUGCAGAGGUGAGAGAAAUGAGCUUUUCUCUAUGAAUAGGGAAUACAGGCAACUUGAACUCACAAGAAAGGAGUCAUAAAGUAUAUUACUCUAUAUAAAAAAUGGAAGACUUCAGUUUAUGGAAAAGACACUGGUUUUGUGCCUGCUUCAAUGAAAGCUAAAAUACAAAUCUGUUCACUCUCCAUGAAAGAAAAGGUUGUCUCCUGACUGGAAAAUGAAGAGUCAAAGAGACCCAUGGCCUUUCUGCCCUUUACACUGAAAAGAAAAUGAACUGCCUGGUCAUAGGAUGAAUGUUGUCUUGGGUCACCAUCAAGAUCUUGACCUGCCUAACUGAUGUGACACAAGGAAAGAGCAGCAUCAGUUUUAUCCAUGAUCCUGUCAAGAAAAAAAUAAGCCCACAACCAUUUUUCCCGUAAAAGCAUUAAGAAGGGAGGACACUAAUUUGGUGGAUCCCAUUUGCUGUUGGUCCUCUCAGAUUGCAGCCUCAGCUCACACCCCGGCACUCUGCUCCACCUUGAAAGCAUUCUGAAGUUGGGCACCUGAACAAGUUUGAGAGGUGGAUUUUGACUCAAUGUUAUUUUUCACCAGUAUCUGUAAAUAUACUGAAAUAAACACUGAAAGCACAUAAAAGCAGUGGGAGAAGGUGAGAAGCUAAACUCCCAUUUUUUAUUCCAUUUCAACUAGUUUCCCCUUGAGAUGUGGAAAAUCUCUACCUGUGAUGCUUCCUGUGGAAGCUUCCUGUGCACAUUUUUAGGGAGAACUUCUUGCUGGUGGGAUAAACCCUUCCCAAGCUCUUGGCGUCAGCACAGCUCCCCAGUUCCCCCUGGGGCAGCCAGGAACCCUCCUGCCCCUUAUGGUAUGAGGGAUGCCUGUUUCGGUUUGUCACCUCAUCCCUACCACAGCCAGACAGGAGUCAGCAAGGAGCACUGGUGUUCCUGAUGCGCAAUUUCUUCCUCCUCUGUCUUGGAGGGGAAAAAUGCCCUUUUACAUUUAGCCGGUGUCUACCUUCUCUCUCCCUACAGGUGGUAGCAAUCACAGCAUGAUAGAACCUAAAAUGGCUAUUUUCCCCCCAAAAAAUAAAGCCUUAGUUUACUGAAGCAGAGGCUAGUGGGCAUUGAGUUGGAGAAACUGCUUUAUUGGAAGUGUUUGAUGAUGUAGGAAAGUAAAGUGUGAGGGGACAUUGAGGCACUCGAUGCAGUACAGUGGGGAGUGGGUGGGAGGGAUGGAGAAGCCUGUGAGAGGGCUGAGGCACCCCUGGUAUUUUAUGCGAAGCCAUACCGCACUCUGGCUCUGCUUGCUGAUUGAGAUGGAAUUCCAUGUCAAUGAAGCAAGUAGUUCAGAAGCGCAUUUUGGGGAAUUUUUCAGCUAUUGAUGGCCUUUUUUUGUACAAAUCAUCAUUUUUGUACGAACUGAUCACUUGUCAUGUGAGAUCAAACCUCAAAUUUAGGCCCUAGAGAGAUAGAAUAAAGAGCUAAAAAUUUAACAGUUUCCAAAAACAAAUGUUAUUCUUUUGUCUUAGCAUCUUUAACCCCACGUAUGUAAGUGUGUACAAAUGUAUAUACCCAAGGGCAGAAAUACCUCCUGAUGAUAACGUAGUCCCACACAAACCAGGCAGGAAUGUGAAGAUCAAGCGAGUGGGAACAUGUGCCAGUCUGCUCCAGUAACCUACUUAGAUGCAGCUUGGUAACAGCACAAUAAUCUGCCAUCUGAUGCUCUGGAUGCUUUGACCAUGUCCUGGCACUGUGCAGACCUCAGGUAUGGAAAUAUUUUGCCUCUCCUGGCAAAAUCAUAGUACCAUAGAAUGGUUUGGGUUGGAAGAGACCUUAAGAUCAUCUAGUUCCAACCCCCUGCCAUGGGCAGUGACCGUGAUGGGAUAUUUCUUCUCCUCGUCAGUGCAUAAAUUUUAAGUUUACUAUUUGAAGGGUCAUGACCAAGUUUAGUAACUGUAGUUAUUGUAGAACAUGAAGAACACGUACACACCAUUGGGAUUCAUCUCUCCUUCGUUGGCCACCCUACUAACCAGUACUAACCAAAGCUGAGGGUGUUCACACCUUCAUUCCUCCAGGAAAGCACUGUAUUGAAAUAUUUUUUCCCCCAGCUGUAUCAUUUGACCUUAUAAAACAUGUAACCUCUCCAUACACGUGUGCUUGGUCUGAACCAGUAAGUAAUAUGUCAGCAGAAGCAGCCUACCUUGUGCUUGGGUAGGAGCUAAUGGGUUGGCCAUGUUUUUUUCCUGAGUAAUUAGAUGAAAUCCUUUUGCAGCUUGCUUUGCCUAUGGUCUUUUGCUUUUUUUUUCACUGCAGACCUCAAAAGCAAUCCCCUUGGAUGUGGUUAUAUAUAUUUCAGAACACAACAAAUAAAACCACAAUGAGGCUCUUUGUCCAUGUUGAUACUUUCUUCAACCUUUCUACUGAGGAUUUCCAACUGCAUUUGUCAUUGUGUGGAGAGCAACGACCUCAUUUACCUCGAGGCCGAUGCACUCUUGGAAAGUGAAAUAUAUAUGAUAAUAAUGAUGGCGAGGGUGGCAAAUCUGUUGCAUAAGAAAACUUGAUAUAUAAAUGCACCACACAGCUCAGGGUGCAUCUUCAUUUCACCCAUAAGAAGUUUGUGCAAGUGCAGAAAAGUCCAGGUUUUUUCUCCUGCCCCCCAAAGAAACAUAAUCCAGAGUUUAUAUCGGAUGGUUUAUGGGAGUUUAUUGGAAUAUCCAACAGGGUUCAUGCAGUGUGUCAUAAGGUAAAGCCUGUUCAUUGGUGAUUUACAAGCAGUGUGUGCCGGUGUUACUGUAAUUUAUAGACCACAGAUGGUCAGGGGGUGCCCCUGCUGACUUGUAGCUGUAUAAGAAGCUGAGCCCUGUGUAUCAUCUGCUGUGGGUACCUCCAGCUCACUUCCCCAAAUUAGCAUUGAUCAGGAUCUGCCUUCAAACCCAGAGGGUCCUGAGACCUCUGCCUUGCAAGCUGGGGCAAGGUGGGGAAAAAGAAACCCAAGCCUAUCAGAAUGGCACCAAAGGAAAAUUGCUUUUUGCAGUAAUAACUUUCAUUCUCAAGGCUGGUACUUCACUUGAUGGACUUCUGUCCCCGGUUAAAUGGAGAAGGAAGAAUGUCAAUCUCCUUUUCAUGCACUGGCCUAAGACAAACAUUUCCUCUACAAAAAGUUAUAUAUAUGUUCAUAAAUCUCCCUUGUAAUGACUUUUAAGAUAGAUCCUGUCUUUGUUCUUAUUUUACCCUUUUAGGUGAUUGUCUUUAACUGUGUAUUACUAUGACUUUCUUUCCUCAGUUGUUUACCUAAGCCUUUGCUUCUUUAAAUCUUAUGAAAUAACUGUCUCUUUAUUCUGGCACCACUUUCUGAUCCCCGGGGAAAUUUUUCCUGGUGGAUGCACUAGGUAGAGACAGGACAGGGCUGGCAGCACAUUCCACCCAAAUCCAUGGGAGAUUUAUUCCUUUGGCCAGGGGAUUGGGCCCCUUUUGGCUUCUCAUUCCUCUGGUUGACAAGGUUCCUCACGUCACCUCGUAUUUCUCCCAGACGUGUUUUUGUCUUGCUGCGUGUGGCCUUGUCCUGCCCACAGGAAUACUGCGGUGGUCUCUGGCAGCAUCCAGCAGCCUUCGGAGGGACGUGCUGGAUCCAGGGACGCCUGGCGCUUGGCUUGCCCGCCACAGCAAGGUCAUGCAUUUUAACAAGGCACCGCCGAUCCCCCUUUUUAAAGGGCAUUGAUUAUGUUUUGUUAAAAUGGGCUUUGAACUCAUCUGACCCUCCGCCAGUAGGACAUUUCAGGGCUUUUUUCUGCCUUGGACCACACUUGACACCUGUUGGCAAACACAGCUGCAAAUGCCGCUGUGAGAAACCUGCAUCCGAGCUCAAAACUGAGCGGUUUGGUUUUUUUCCCAAGAGUAAAGACCUAAGAGAAUUUGGUGCUUCUUUAGUUAGUAAAAAGAUUUAAAAAAAAAACAAGUUUGUUUUUCCUUAUCAAGAUGAGGUGAAAAAAAACCCACUCUAUAGACAAAAGAAGCAGAAGGAGAGCUGUAAUGGAAAUAAAAUUGACAGCCUCUCAAAACUCAGGUGGCACUUUCCUUUUCCAGUUAAUUACAGUUUUAAUUACAUGGCUUCUUGUGACUCCUUGAUACCUAAUAAACUAGACUCUGUGGGGCGGCAAAGUUGAGUUUUGCUUGAACUGCAGGUGUAAGGCUCAGCAUGAAACAUAAAUCAACUUCUUAAACAUGUUCCCAGGGUGUGUUCAGGCUUUUUCUUCCUAUUCGCUUGUAAAAAUCACAUCUUUUCACCAUUGUUGGGGGAAGAAAAAGAAAAAAGAUUGAAGCUACAAUGCAGUGGGUAUUACCUUUGUGUCUUUGGAUAUAAAAAUCCCUUUUAGUAGGGAAAAAAAAGGCUUUUUUUUAACCUCAGAGCUGAUAAAUUUUAAAGGAGUGAUGCAUUACCCAUAUAGACCCUCUCUCAUUGUCAUUUUUUAGUGGGGGUGCAUAAGAUAGAAGAGGAAAGUACACUGGCGGCAUGAAAAAGAGGGUAGAUUGGUACAUGGAAAAUAAAGAGACAUUCAUCCCAUAGGAGCUGCCUUUUCUGAAGGUUUUGAAAACAGAGAGUGCCUGUUUAUUCUUUGUGUGUUACGCCAUGGAAAUCUGUGCUCCAGUCAGGUUCAAGAGCAGUGCCAUAUAUUAACCGUGAGCAGGAUAACACAACGAUGACCUGUUGCAGCAAAAAGCUGAAGGUAAAUAUGUGUCAGAACUUCUUAUAGGUCUCAAUCCCAGGACAUCUGAUGGGACCAUGAGCCUGCGGCAGGCAGCAAUGUCAUGACCACACAUUGUGACAAUUCAGUGAGGUGAAAGAUCGCCCAUCUUCCUUCUUUCCCAAACCAAAUUAUUAAAAGAAGGAGGAGGGAGGGAGGGAAGGGGAGGAGGAAAAGAGUCAGGAGAGCUUCACAUAGUGCACUUCAGUGUUGGUGCAGAACAUGAGCAGCAAGGUUCAUGUGUGAGACAUGAGUGUAUCAACAAGUCCUUAACCUCUGAGACACAACCUUGGAAAGACGUUUUUAAUGUCUUCUUAUUAGUUUAACUGCUGAAGUACUGGUUUUAUGAGUGCAAAAAAGUGUAUUCGUUAUGAGUGGAGAAAGACAUAUCUGGGACAUAGCCCCCUCGUUAAUGGCUUUCCAUAGCCAGUAAGGUGAAGGUGGGAGAAAUGUCCUGCUUGCCUUUUCAACACAAAUGUUUGGUUUCUGGGUUUCUCCUAUUGCUGAUUACCUGAAGCAGUGCCAUUGUGCUACUCUUUGGCUGGAGCAAGCAUGCUGAAGCCAGAUGAGGGAAUUUUUGCUCCUCCAAGAGCUUUGUGACCUGCUGCCAACUCGCCUUCCCCAUGGUUCAUCCCAGCCUUGGACCCUGUCCUGUGAUCAUUGUUGAGAUCUCGCUAACACCUAUGGCACUCAGGGCCAGCUGAGCUUGACUGUAUCUGCAUACAUUACUUACCUGAACAAGUGCACUUGCAAGGCACAGAUUUCUCUCAGAUCGAUAUUGUGUUAAAUUUCUUGGAUAUAAAUGUCUUGUAUGCUCGUGGGCUGUUUGUGUGCAGUGUUCGGGCAGCUCACAGCAAAAAUGUGGGGAGCUGAUCUGCUGUCUGCAGUUUCUGUGUGGUGUUACGGAUGUUAGAUGAUGAAAAGGAAAACAGAAAACAAGGAUGCUCUUUUUCAAGGCUUCACCCACGACAUUGUGGCACUGUUUGGGGAAAGGCGUGCAACACAGCGCAAUGAAAGCCUGGCAGCGUUGUCUCCCAACCCCAGCAUCCUCUUGGCUUUUGGUGUCUGAGGGUGUGCUGCCCAGGUGCUCCCCAGUGACAACCUCUAUGCCAGGUGCAGGCUAGAAAUUUUCCAUCAGAACCAUCCUGCAGCAAACCCUUGGAUUUCUGGUUAAACAAAAAUCUCCAUUAAAAGCAGGCCACAGAGGAGGAGAACUUUUUGGAAGAUAAGGAAAGCCUAGGGCAGCCCAAAAAAAGCAUCUCUUUUGAAUGCCAAGUAACACCUCUUGCCUGCAGUGCCCAAGCAAAAGCCAUCACUGCUGCCUUCUGCAAAAAGCUGUCUGGUUCUGUGAAGCUAUUGCUCCUCUCUUCAAAUCCUCCCUUCAAAACUUGCCCCUGUUUUGACACCUGUAGCAGAUGAAAUGCAAAAACUGAGGGCAGAUGAAAGCACUUAACAUGCAGCUUCUCUGUGUCUAUCUAUACCCAUGCUGUAUAAUGUAUACUGGCACUUUCAUGUUGCCUGGUCCACACAGAUGUCAUCAUGACAUAGGCUUUUGUGACAGCCACGGUCCUGGGGACAUCAGUGCCAUGAAGUCCCAGUGUUUUGCAGCCUAAAUGAUGAAACUGGAGCAGGCACACUUUGGACAGACAGCUCAGUGUCUUUUAAUAUCUCUGAAAAUUAACUGUGGAAGCAAAAAAUCCCAACCCUAGAGCCA